GGUAGCACAGAGAGCUUGCUCUCGGGUGACGAGUGGCGGACGGGUGAGUAAUGUCUGGGAAACUGCCUGAUGGAGGGGGAUAACUACUGGAAACGGUAGCUAAUACCGCAUAACGUCGCAAGACCAAAGAGGGGGACCUUCGGGCCUCUUGCCAUCAGAUGUGCCCAGAUGGGAUUAGCUAGUAGGUGGGGUAACGGCUCGCCUAGGCGACGAUCCCUAGCUGGUCUGAGAGGAUGACCAGCCACACUGGAACUGAGACACGGUCCAGACUCCUACGGGAGGCAGCAGUGGGGAAUAUUGCACAAUGGGCGCAAGCCUGAUGCAGCCAUGCCGCGUGUAUGAAGAAGGCCUUCGGGUUGUAAAGUACUUUCAGCGGGGAGGAAGGUGUUGUGGUUAAUAACCGCAGCAAUUGACGUUACCCGCAGAAGAAGCACCGGCUAACUCCGUGCCAGCAGCCGCGGUAAUACGGAGGGUGCAAGCGUUAAUCGGAAUUACUGGGCGUAAAGCGCACGCAGGCGGUCUGUC
rnacentral:rRNA from 1 species